rnacentral:rRNA from 1 species
UACGGAGGGUGCAAGCGUUGCUCGGAAUUAUUGGGCGUAAAGAGCUCGUAGGCGGUCUGUUACGUCCGCUGUGAAAACCCAGGGCUUAACCCUGGGCUUGCAGUGGAUACGGGUAGACUAGAGGCAGGUAGGGGAGAAUGGAAUUCCCGGUGUAGCGGUGAAAUGCGCAGAUAUCGGGAGGAACACCGGUGGCGAAGGCGGUUCUCUGGGCCUGACCUGACGCUGAGGAGCGAAAGCGUGGGGAGCGAACAGG